UUUCUUUUUCUCUCGGAAGGUUUUGGACCUUCACCUUGCGCAGAAGCCUUCCUCACGCCCCAAAGUUUCUCUCUUAAAAUUUUUACGCACGUCCCACCUUUCUCCUCUUUUUAAAACAACGUCAAACAUGUCUUAUCUACGUGAGAGGAUAAAGACAAGAGGUUACACAUUUGAAUUCAAAUCAAAUUUGAAUUCAAACGAAAACCAACUUAUCCCUAUCCUUUUGGGCGUGAGAAGAGAAGGGGCGUGGCUCUUUGUGCGUAGAAAAUAUUUCACGAGAAAUCUUUUCUCGUGUAAGUAAUGUGGCGCACAAAAUGGAUAAGGAUGAAAGGGCAAGUGAUAAGUUAUCCAUUCAAAUUCAAACAUGCUUUGAAUUUGAAUGGCUAACUAAUUAUUUUAUCCAUCCAUAUGGCGCACAAAUGAGGGCGUGGGGAAGGAUUUUGCAUGAGAAAAAUUUCACGAGAAGUUUCUUCUCGUGAAUUCAAAUGGGUGCAAGGAAGUUGGGUGUCGCCGGGAAUUUAAAACAAGGUGGUUUGAUUCAAAUUGAGCCAACCUAGUUUAAAAUAGGU
rnacentral:lncRNA from 1 species